UACGUAGGCGGCAAGCGUUGUCCGGAUUUACUGGGCGUAAAGGAUGCGUAGGCGGAUGUUUAAGUGAGAUGUGAAAUACCCGAGCUCAACUUGGGUGCUGCAUUUCAAACUGGAUAUCUAGAGUGCAGGAGAGGAAAGCGGAAUUCCUAGUGUAGCGGUGAAAUGCGUAGAGAUUAGGAAGAACACCAGUGGCGAAGGCGGCUUUCUGGACUGUAACUGACGCUGAGGCAUGAAAGCGUGGGGAGCAAACAGG
rnacentral:rRNA from 1 species